GAUGAAGAACGCAGCGAAAUGCGAUAAGUAGUGUGAAUUGCAGAAUUCCGUGAAUCAUCGAGUCUUUGAACGCACAUUGCGCCCCCUGGUAUUCCGGGGGGCAUGCCUGUCCGAGCGUCAUUGCUGCCCUCAAGCACGGCUUGUGUGUUGGGCCCCGCCCCCCGGCUCCCGGGGGGCGGGCCCGAAAGGCAGCGGCGGCACCGCGUCCGGUCCUCGAGCGUAUGGGGCUUCGUCACCCGCUCCGUAGGCCCGGCCGGCGCCCGCCGGCGACCCCCCUCAAUCUUUUCAGGUUGACCUCGGAUCAGGUAGGGAUACCCGCUGAACUUAAGCAUAUCAAUAAGCGGAGGA
rnacentral:misc_RNA from 1 species